AUAAAGCCAUUUAGAAGGGCUUCAUGAUAAGAUGCUUUGAAAACAGACAGUUAAACUCAAUAUGCCUGUAUAAACAUCUGUUUCCCACUUUUACAGAAAGAGGAACAAAACCACAAUUAAAUGAGUCUUAAUAAUAAGAUGCUGAGAGGAGCAGCACCAAUGGAAGGAGUAAAUCAUGGUUAGGGAAGCAGGCAAAGGGCAAACAGCCCUGAGAAUAGGAAUGAGCAUGUUUUUCACAGACAAGACCGGAUAAGACACGAGAUAAGCAGGAGGGUCUUAGGGAAGUGGAGGAUGUAAACAGGGGGGGAAACAAUGAAUUAAGGAAAAAAUAUGUGGUAACCAAAUUGUAUAAAUAUCGAGUGCUUGUUGAAUUCGGUGUGUGUUUUGUCCCUGCCUUGUGGACAUCACACCCACUUGCAAGUGUGAAAUAAAGAGCUCUGCUGAUUCAGAUCUUGUCUCGGACUGAAAUUAUUGCAGUGUGUGAGCUUUGUUUCUCACAAUUGGUGCCCAACGUGGGGCAGUCCGGGAAGUUCUUCCAUCGCCGGGCGGAGUGGCUGGCCCUGGACACUGGGAAGACACGUCCCGUUCCCCAUUGAGGAGCGGUCUCAUGUCCCGGUUUGGUCCGCUCCCUUGAGCGACUGGUACGAAUCCUACAAGAGAGACAUCUGAACCUGACAGCCCAAGGAAACAGGGUUUAUUGGCACAGACUCCACCCCUAGAAUUCACCGUUCAUCCCAUCCAGCCGGGAGAUUGGGUCUUAGUAAAAUCAUGGACAGAGACUAAAUUGCAGCCGGACUGGGAAGGGCCGUACCAGGCUCUUUUGACUACCGUAACGGCAAUAAGGACAGUGGAGAAAGGCUGGACUCACUACACUCGGAUCAAAGGGACAGUGGAAUCUCCAGUUGAGGAAGAAGUCUGGACAGCCGAACCAACACAAGACCCGCUGAAACUCAGACUAAAGAGACUUUGAGUAACUGAUUAUACAGUGGCAACGUGAGCGCGGGAUUAUUUCUGUAGAAUUGUAUAUUGAGUCAUUCUGUGCUUCAGCAUGAUGUUUAAAGUACUGGGAAUGCUUAGAGUUAUGAUGCUAGCCCUCUUAGUAUUGGGAUUUUGUCAAAUAUCCUUUUCAUAUAUAUUAUAAAUGGUUUCUGAGUCUGAUAAUCCACAAGUAAUAGACGCUGAUGCAUGCAGCUUAGUCAAUUGUGGGGAUGUCGAUAUUCAGAGACAGUACCGCAGUUCAGAGAUACAUCUUAAGUCCUAUGGGGAUGGCCUUGGGGAUGGUACGUGGUGUAAUAGGGAUAGAAAUGAAAGCACAUGGGAAACACUUCGUGGGCUGUUGUUUUCGAAUUAACGUAGGACAGGGAAAACGGGCGGAAUUACUGGAUAAUGAGAUACAACCUUUCACCCCCCCCCCCCCCACUGAUCCUAAAGUAGUAAAAAUUAUAGAGGUUAAGGACUUGAAACAGACUAUCGAAAUAGAAACUGGGUACAGGGAUGCAAAUGCCUGGGUUGAAUGGGUAAAGUAUACUGUAAAAAGUCUGAACAAAAGCAAUUGGUAUGCAUGUACCUCCGGUAGGCCAGUGGCCCAGGUGGUUCCCUUUCCGCUCGGGUGGAAGCGAGACAGGCAGGGCAUGAAGUGUAUGCUAGCCCUGUAUCAGAAUGAGACUGCAUGGAAUGAGAAUGAUACGAAUUGUUCCUCCCUAUCUCUGAUGUUCCCUCCCUUGGAGAAGAAAGAUGUACAAGUUUCCCCUGCAUUUUCUGCCGCAAUUGGAAACCACACGUCGUGUGUGUGUAGAUGAGGUACAAGUCGGUCUAGAGAUUUGGGGGAGCUGAAAUUGUGUACAUAGAUUAAAAAUGUUACCGAAACGAAGAAAGGAGGAACUAUUCAGCACUAAAGGUUCCCCGAGCGGAUCUGUGAUGGUACUGUGGAGGCAAAAUAUUGAGACCCACCCUCCCUCUGGAUUGGAGAGGGAUAUGUGCAAUUGUACAAUUGGCAAUUCCAUUUACCCUGGCAUUUCAGAAGGAAAAGAUAGUAGGGAAACAAGGAAGGUGUAAGAGAUCACUGUUAGACACUUCUUUCGAUGACAGGGUUUAUCUCGAUUCGAUAGGAGUCCCUGGGGGAGGGGGGGUACCUGAUGAGUUCAAGGCUCGUAACCAGAUUGCGGCAGGCUUUGAGUCAGCUCUCUUUUGGUGGGUAACAAUUAAUAAAAAUGUAGAUUGGAUAAAUUACAUUUUUUAUAAUCAACAGCGAUUUAUAAAUUAUACAAGAGAUGCAGUUAAAGAAAUAUCAGACCAGCUUGAUGCGACAAGUAGGAUGGCAUGGGAAAACUGAAUGGCCCUUGAUAUGAUUUUAGCAGAAAAAGGGUGUGUGUGUGUGAUGGUAGGAGGAAGCUGUUGUAUCAUACCCUGUAUACGAGGGCUCACCCAGAGACUGAUUGAGACAACCUUAAUGAAACAGAUGCCCUUAAAAGGAAAUCAGACAGAGGAACUUUAUCAAGUAAAUAUUGAGGAGAUGAGUGAGACCAAGAUGAAUGAAAUUUCCUAAAUGAUGCUUGUGAAUUUCGGGAGCAAUGCUUAAAAAAACAAAAUGCAGAAGGUAACAAAUGGUAAAGAAAUAAAAAGGGGCAAUUGUGGGAUUUGGGAAAUUUUAUGUUUCUUCAGCAAUUCUAAAAUUCAUUAUAUAAAAAAUAACUGAACUCCAUUAGUGUGCAAUUGUUUCAGCCAGGAGCUGAGUCAACAAGAAUGUGAACUCUGUGGAGGAAAUGCUAAUUGGUUUGCUAAGGAUGUAACAAAUGGUAAAGCCAUUUAGAAGGGCUUCGUGAUAAGAUGCUUUGAAAACAGACAGUUAAACUCAAUAUGCCUGUAUAAACAUCUGUUUCCCACUUUUACAGAAAGAGGAACAAAACCACAAUUAAAUGAGUCUUAAUAAUAAGAUGCUGAGAGGAGCAGCACCAAUGGAAGGAGUAAAUCAUGGUUAGGGAAGCAGGCAAAGGGCAAACAGCCCUGAGAAUAGGAAUGAGCAUGUUUUUCACAGACAAGACCGGAUAAGACACGAGAUAAGCAGGAGGGUCUUAGGGAAGUGGAGGAUGUAAACAGGGGGGGAAACAAUGAAAUAAGGAAAAAAUAUGUGGUAACCAAAUUGUAUAAAUAUCGAGUAUUUGUUGAAUUCGGUGUGUGUUUUGUCCCUGCCUUGUGGACAUCACACCCACUUGCAAGUGUGAAAUAAAGAGCUCUGCUGAUUCA